GAAGACCUAGACCUACAAAUCAACAGAGGAGGUUCCUGUACUAUAGGGGCGGGAAGAAGCCACCCUGGCCCUCUCUUCCACUCCGCUCUGCUUCCAGGACAAGAUUCAUCCCAAUAAAGCUCAACCUGCUAUCAUUUCUAUUCCAUUGUCAAGAUGUAACCAAAUCCAUCAAUUUUGACUUGCAGAAAUGUAUUGUCUGGUGCAACAUACACAAUCAAGCGUCACAAAUCUACAAAAAAAUAGACUCGAGCCACUGAGACCUGGACCGUUCUCCAUGCUUCUGUAACGAGUGUUAAUAUUGCCUUGUGUUUUUCACCUAAAUCCUUUCAUAUCCAUGGAUUGUGAGUGUAUCGAUUGCUCUGUGGUAUAUUGCUCUGGCCUGCAGUACCUUCAAGUCAGACGCAGGAGUUCCCUCUCAGUAUGUUUUGGUUCUACUGAGGAGAGGUACUUGCUUGCAUUACUUUUCCUCACGUUAGGUGUGCAGUAUUGAGAAGCUCACCAUCCAGUGCAUUGCAUGUAUUCCAUCCAAUCCAGAUAAAUAAAAGCCAACUACUGUCCAGGCUAGACCUGUUCGUUACAAAUACAGCAGAAAAGUAGCCAAACCGGCUACACUCCCAUCAGGCAGGCGGGACCGGUGAAUCAAGGCUCAGACCAACAGACUCCUGAACAGCUUCUAUCCCCUGGCCAUAAGACUGUUAAUUGGCUAACAACUACAGCUCUCCCACAGACUAUCCAUACGGACUAUAUGCCCAUCCACAGGUCUCUACGGGGUAUGGUAGUAGGUGCCAGGCGCACGGUUUGUGUCAAGAACUGUCACACACAUUUCCGUGUGUAUGAACAAUGUUCCACCAGCCAAAGCCAACUUGACACAACUGUGUACAUUUAUAUUCAUGCACGAUCGGAUACGAAAAUAAGUGUAUCUAUAUGUAUUUAUUUAUUUUCUUCAUUUGUGUGUAUUGUCAGGUAUUUCCGCAUUGUUGGAGAUAGAAACAAGCAUUUCGCUGCACCUGCGAUAACAUCCGCGGAUUGUGUACAGCCUAUUGAAUAAAAAUACUAAAUGAAAUAGU